CGUGCAUUCCUUCUCUCGCCGAAAGCUUCUUCUCCUCGUCUUCCCCUCCUCUCCCUCACGCCGCGCGCAACAUCUUCUCCCUCCCGAACCCACUUCGCAGAUUCCCUUCUCCCUUCACCUCUCCGCAUUGCUGCCGACGCCGACGGUCGCCUCCCUGGUGCCGGCGCUCAAGAGCCCUCCCUUUGCGUCGUUCCCUUCUCUCCCAACUCCUCUUCAUCACCCGACGGCACCGCCCGACGCCCCGCCACCCACUGCUGUCGUCGGUGUAGCCCAGCUCCGCAGCUAACCGAGGGAAAGCCUACCACGAUCUCCCCCUUCCAAUUUUCACUUGUGCCCUAGAUCUGGAUUAUCGCCGCCUCCUCUCAGUCUCUACCGACGCAGCUAACCCUAGAUCAACUGCGAACCACCGUUGUUGUGUGCUGCCAUGAGGUCCACCGUUAGUUCCUCUUCUCCACGCCAUUGCCACUGUCAAUGCUUUCCUUCCGGUGAGCAAUGGGUGCUCCUCAGGCAGAGAUAGGGAAGGAGCAGUGAACCUUCGGCAGAAACAAUGAAGUUGUUGGAUCAGCCAUUGUAGCUCCAACCCUUCUUCCGGCAGCAGCUUCACAGUAGCUUAUAUCAUGAAUUUCAGUAGCAAGCUUCUUCGACUGUGAAUUCUACAACGGAGCAUCCAGUUUGGGACUUUGAGUUGAGACGAGCGUCUCAACAUAGAGAUAGUUAGGAUGAUCUAUAUAAAGGUAGCAGGUAGAUUUUGGAGUUGCUUGGAGUAUCUUGUCUGCCGGUUCCCACAUCACAUCCGAAGACUUAUUUCUGGUUUUCAUUUGUACUUUAUUUGGUCUAUGUUUUUGGUUUACUUAGCAAUGUAAAAUUUUGAUUUUUGGUUCCGGAGUGUUGUGAUGUGGUGUUUUGUAUUGUUUGUUGUGUUGUGUAAGUCUAGCUGGCUAGCGGUCAUUCUUUUGGUUUGUAAUGAUUUUCUGUUGUAUUUCCACUGUGUGCUUCUUUUUAGUACAACCGAGUGGGUUAUUAGAUAUAUAUAUAUAACU